rnacentral:misc_RNA from 1 species
ACAAUAAGCCCAUUGGCCCAAAUAAUUACAACACCAGGUCUAACAGGGGAAGAACGAGGACAGGUAGGGUUGCUUACUCCACCUCCUCCUGGUAGAUAGGUAGCUCCUACUAUCUUCGCUAUCGUUUGGGAAGCAAUCAAGCAGUCCGAGCAAAGAGAGAACAAAUAAGAUAGAAGGAUAACACCAUAUUCACUUAAGCUUCCAGAAACGGCUCGGAGCCUUGGUCAAAGAACAACUAGAUUCAAGCUCCAUGAAAGGCUUGAAAAGUUGAUGUGUAGAGCUCUAACGACAAUCUUGUCUUCAUGGGUCAGGCGAUUAUCAAAACGCCGACUAUUCAUCCCUGUGGCACGCAACACUCUCCCGUGGGGCAGCCUCAAAGCAUAAGCAACUAGCCAAGCCAAAACUACAAGCUUCUUAGGCUGGCGAAAGGACAACACAUGUAGGACCAAACAAAACCCUCUCGCAUGACCAUAAUCCCUGCAAUUAAAAGACAACCAAAAACCUGUCUAAAAUCCUACCUAGAGAUGGGGAGGGAGAGAUCCACGUCCAAGCAAGGAAAGGAGAGCCAUCUCUUACUUGGGGAUAAGGGACAAUCGAAGAAUUCGGCAGAGAAGAACCAUGUCUCCAAAAACCCAAAAACCAAUAAAAAGAAGAUUUCUCUCUAAACAAUCGGAGAGAUAGCAGCCCCCCUAAUUUUGUUUCUGUUUAGAG